CCAGACUCCUACGGGAGGCAGCAGUGGGGGAUAUUGCACAAUGGGGGAAACCCUGAUGCAGCGACGCCGCGUGUGGGAAGACGGUCCUCUGGAUUGUAAACCACUGUCCCCAGGGACGAAGAUGACGGUACCUGACGAAUAAGCCACGGCUAACUACGUGCCAGCAGCCGCGGUAAUACGUAGGUGGCAAGCGUUAUCCGGAUUUACUGGGUGUAAAGGGCGUGUAGCCGGGCCGGCAAGUCAGAUGUGAAAUCCCAAGGCUCAACCUUGGAACUGCAUUUGAAACUGUUGGUCUUGAGUAUCGGAGAGGCAGGCGGAAUUCCUAGUGUAGCGGUGAAAUGCGUAGAUAUUAGGAGGAACACCAGUGGCGAAGGCGGCCUGCUGGACGACAACUGACGGUGAGGCGCGAAAGCGUGGGGAGCAAACAGGAUUAGAUACCCUGGUAUA
rnacentral:rRNA from 1 species